CGCUGAAUCCAUGCAACUCUAUGACUGAGCUAUUUGAUGUUCCUAACCAUCUCGGAACAUAGACUUUGGAUAGAUUUUCCAAGUCUUUACGAUGCUGAAGGGAGCUGCACCGUGUACUUGAACUGAUCUGCACUACGACACCAGGAUGCGUCGAACACUACGCGUACCUUCGAUGUGGAUUUAUCUUCUCUGACAACUGCGUGAUGAGGUUUGAAUCCUUCGUGAAUUUUCUCUCCAACGCCUUGAGUCUUCUUACAGCUAUUUCUUUACUGUUACCACCUCCGCAGGUGGGCGUUGC